AUUGAACGCUGGCGGAAUGCUUUACACAUGCAAGUCGAACGGCAGCACGGGGGCAACCCUGGUGGCGAGUGGCGAACGGGUGAGUAAUACAUCGGAACGUGCCCAGUCGUGGGGGAUAACGUAGCGAAAGUUACGCUAAUACCGCAUACGAUCUACGGAUGAAAGCGGGGGACCGUAAGUCCUCGCGCGAUUGGAGCGGCCGAUGUCAGAGUAGGGAGUUGGUGAGGUAAAGGCUCACCAAGCCGACGAUCUGUAGCUGGUCUGAGAGGACGACCAGCCACACGGGGACUGAGACACGGCCCAGACUCCUACGGGAGGCAGCAGUGGGGAAUUUUGGACAAUGGGCGCAAGCCUGAUCCAGCCAUUCCGCGUGCAGGACGAAGGCCUUCGGGUUGUAAACUGCUUUUGUACGGAACGAAAAGGCUCUGGUUAAUACCUGGGGCUCAUGACGGUACCGUAAGAAUAAGCACCGGCUAACUACGUGCCAGCCGCCGCGGUAA
rnacentral:rRNA from 1 species